CGCUCAAACACUCUUGCGAUACGAUACGGUUUCCAAAGAAUCCGAUUUUGGGGAAACUGUGGAUGGACUUGUGCUGUUUGCAGGCAUACUAUUCUACUACCGGAAACACCCGAUUUUGCAGUCUUCAUGUGAAUUACGAGCUGGAUCUGUACGUGGCCGCAGCCAACGGGAAGCUGAGAACUAUACCUGGUGCACCUCAAGGUUUCCAAUGCCGAACUUAAAUGAAACAAACCAGCAUGGAAGAGAGACUGCUUCUGACGUUGGCACUGCUGCUGCUUCUGGACUACUACUGCUGCUGGGGCUACUGCUGCUCCUGGGAUUACUGUUGUUGAUGGG